AGGGGGAGGUCGGAUCCUGGGCUGUGUCCCUGGCGCCCUGUGCUCCCGGGCCUGGGCUAUUGGAUUCGCGCUCCCGGCCUGGCAGCCCCCU
rnacentral:pre_miRNA from 1 species